UACAGAGGCCCCAAGCGUUACUGAGAAUCACUGGGUUUAAAGGGUGCGUAGGAGGCGCGUUAAGUCCGUUGUGAAAGCCCUGGGCUCAACCCAGGAACUGCUUCGGAUACUGGCGCGCUUGAGGCUAGUAGGGGUCACUGGAACUGACGGUGGAGCGGUGAAAUGCGUAGAUAUCGUCAGGAACGCCAAUGGUGAAGACAGGUGACUGGGCUAGUUCUGACACUGAGGCACGAAAGCGUGGGGAGCGAACGGG
rnacentral:rRNA from 1 species